rnacentral:lncRNA from 1 species
CAAACAUUGGACUCCAGAUUCUUUAGUUUUGGAACUCGGACUGUCUCUCCUUGCUCCUCGGCCUGCAGACGGGCUACUGUGGGACCUUGUGAUCGUACAAGUAAAUAGGAAACUCACAAUUUUUCCAGCAAAACUUGUAUGUGAAAAUAUAAGCAAAAUGAUAAAUGUGACUGGCCGACAAGCAAAAAACAUUGUUUACCAUCAAACAGCACCAAAACUUCUGGCUGUGUUAUUACCAAUUUGAAUGGACCUUUGCCGAAAGUCCCUGAAGCCAAGCCACACUGCUAACUGAUGAGAGACCAGCUUGAAAGAGGGAGGACCUGCCAAUUGCCAUCAGCACAACUCCAGAUAUAUGGGAGUCAGGUGAUCAUAAACCAUCCAUUUUCUGCUGAGUCACAGUAGACUGCAACUCCAUGAAUGAGACAAGGAGGUGUCGGUAAAAACAAAACAAAACAAAACAAAGCAAAAACUGCCUGGUGUAACCACAGAAUCUUAAGAAAUAAUAAAUGAUUUUAAUCCAA